rnacentral:tRNA from 1 species
UAGGCUUUAUUUUAUAAUAGAAUAGUUAGCUGUUAUCUAACUGGAGCAAAAGGUUGCAAGCCUAA